AACGAUAUUUUUAUGCAUUCCUAAUUGAAACUUGGUGGUGUUUCUAGAAAGAUAGUUCAGUUCAUACGCGUGAUAACUUUUUCAACACCGGGAACUGGAAGAACAUACAACAAGGAAAAGGCAUAGUUUCAUGCUUGUCCUAUAAACAAAUGAACAAGGAAAAAGAUCAAUAAAGAUCAAUUUUGCAUAUUCUAAACCAUAGUGCUGGGAGGUGUUUCGGUCGUGAUACCUGUUCCACCAAGCGUGGAACUUGAAGUAAAAGCCUGACCUUUAAUACCGGCAAAGGUGUAACAUAAACCAGUAAGAGCGAGCACAAUGCCGGUGGCAAUAAGACUAGUAGCCAUAAAGAUGCAACUGAGAAAGGUUACCACGGAAAAUAUAAAAUAGACAAGCUAAAAGAGUUAAUAAACACUGUAUGUAAAAGACAGCAGGAAGGCAACAAAGGAAUUAAAAAUAUCCAGAGGCAUGCUUUUUCCCCUGUGUGCCUUUCUUAAAAGAAACUAUAACAACUUACACCACGGUAAUAAUUGCUAGCAAAAGCAUUUGUAAAAGCCUGGAAUUUGUCUGAUACAGGGCAAAUACGAGAAAGGAAAGGAAGCUCAAUAAAAAUUAAUAGAACGCCCUCAAUGAUAGUCAAAGCUGAGAAAAGAACGACAAGGGUAACGUGAAAAAGGUUGACAAUACCUAGGAUAAUGCAAACUGAAGGUAGUAGGUUAGCAGAUCUGCCUUUUAAUGUUAAAUGUCAAUGGACCAUAAUUUGUGUGCAGUGAAAUGAGAAGUAAUCUGAUUCAAUAAACUUGAUUGUCUGCAAAAUAAAAAAAUUGAGGGACAUAUACAUUCUCAUCAAACCAAAAAUACUUUUGAACACUCACUUGCUACACCUUAACUCUUUAUGCUCAUAAACUCUCUUCACAGCUAUCAGAAAGUACAAAGCAAUCAAUACAAGAAGAAGAGAAUAUCACAAACAUUAAAAAGAAUAACCAAAUUACGCGAUUGAAAUUCUUUACAUACGAAAAAUUGAGAGAAUUCCAAGCCACUGUGCAUAAAUACUACAAUAAGUUAGUAACAUUUCGCUGUUAAAGCAACUGAUUUCGCAUACGAAAAAUUGUAGCUUUUGAGCUCUCCCAAAAACGUUGUCUUUGCUCUGUCAACUAUUAUAGACUCAAACAUGUUGAAAAGUGUAGUUCAGAAAUCGUCUUUGUUCUGAUGCUGGUUAGAUGUCAGUUCAUGUCAGUUUAUGAUGUUUAGCUCGUUGUUAUUUGGCGAAGCGAAAUUAGUAUUUGUUAUUCUUUUUAAUAACAAAGUGGCACGCAGCGUCAGGGUAACCCAAGUAACAGUUCGAAUAUGUACUAUAG